UUCCGGCUGGUGCAAUGGCAGCACGACGGGCUCUGAACCCGUUGAUCGAGGUUCGAGUCCUCGGCCGGAAG
rnacentral:tRNA from 1 species